rnacentral:rRNA from 1 species
UACGGAGGGUGCAAGCGUUAUCCGGAUUCACUGGGUUUAAAGGGUGCGUAGGUGGGCAAGUAAGUCAGUGGUGAAAUCUCCGGGCUUAACCCGGAAACCGCCAUUGAUACUAUUUGUCUUGAAUACUGUGGAGGUCAGCGGAAUAUGUCAUGUAGCGGUGAAAUGCUUAGAUAUGACAUAGAACACCAAUUGCGAAGGCAGCUGGCUACACAAAUAUUGACACUGAGGCACGAAAGCGUGGGGAUCAAACAGG